AAGCAUAACUCUGACAGCAAUUCAACAAAGCAGCACCAAAAAAUACACCUACAGGGCCAAAGAUCUGAAUAGGCAUUUCUGAAAAGAAGACACACAAACACCAAACAGACAUAUAGAAAGGUGCUCAGCAUCACAGAUCAUCGGAGAAAUGCAAAUCAAAACUACGAGACAUCAUCUCGCCCCAGUUAAAAUGGUGUGUAUCUAAAAGACAGGCAAUAAUGAAUGCUAGCAAGGCUGUGGAGAAAAAGGAAUCCUGGUACGGUAUUGGUUGGUGGAAAUGUAAAUUAGCACAACCACUAUGGAGAACAGUUUGGAGGAUCUUCAAAAAACUAAAAAUAGAGCUACCAUAUGAUCCAGCAAUUCCACUGCUAGGUAUAUACCCAAAAGAAAGGAAAUUAGAUGUGGAAGAGAUGUCUGCACUCCUAUGUUUAUUGCAGCACUGUUCACAAUAGCCAAGAUUUGGAAGCAAUGUAAGUGUCUACCAACAGACGAACGGAUAAAGAAAAGGUGGGGCCGGGCGUGGUGGCUCAUGCCUGUAAUCCCAGCACUUUGGGAGGCCGAGGCAGAUCACCUGAGGUCAGAAGUUUGAGAACAGCCUGGCCAAUAUGGAGAAACCCCAUCUUUACUAAAAUACAAAAAUUAGCUGGGCGUGGUGGCGCACACCUGUAGUCCCAGCUACUCGGGAGGCUGAGGCAGGAGAAUUGCUUGAACCUGGGAGGCAGAGAUUGCAGUGAGCCAAGAUUGUGGGCAACAGAGCAAGACUCCCUCUCAAAAAGGAGUAAAUAAAUAAAUAAAUUUAAAAAGGUGGGACAUAUAAACAAUGGCGUACUAUUCGGCCCAGAAUGAGAUUGUGUCAUUUGCAACAAUAUAGAUGGAACUGAGGUCAUUAUGUUAAGUGAAAUAAACCAGGCAGGGGAAGACAAACUUCACAUGUUCUUCUUUGUGAGAGCUAAAAAUUAAAACAAUUGAACUCAUGGAGGUCGAGAGUAGAAGGGUGGUUACCAGAAGCUGGGAAGGUAGUGGGGGAUGCGGAGGGUGUGGGGAUGGUUAAUGUGUACAAAAAAGUAGAAAGAAUGAAUAAGACCCAGCAUUUGGUAGCAAAACAGGGCGACCAUAGUCAAUAAUUUAAUUGUAAAUUUAAAAAGAACCAAACGCGUGUAAUGAGAUCAUUUGUAGCACAAAGGAUAAAGGCUCAAGGUGAUGGAGACCCCAAUUCCCCUGAUGUGACUCCCACGUGUCACACGCCUGUAUCAAAGUACGUCAUGCACUCCAUAAGUAUAUACACCUACUAUGUGCCCACAAAAAUUAAAAAUUAGAAAAAGAAAAGAGUUUAAAAUAGAAACAAUUUUAAGUCUAUAAAUCAGUUUUUCAGCAGUCUAUUAAAGGAAUAACAGGCCGGGUGUGAUGGCUCACACCUGUAAUCUCAGCACUUCGGGAGGCUGAGGCGGGUGGAUCACCUGAGGUCAGGAGUUUGAGACCAGCCUGACCAACAUAAGAAACCCUGUCUCCACUAAAAAAAAUACAAAAUUACCCAGGCAUGGUGGCAGGCGCCUGUAAUCCCAGCUACUCGGGAGGCUGAGGCAGGAGAAUCACUUGAACUCGGGAGGCGGAGGCUGCGGUGAGCUGAGAUCGUGCCACUGGGCAACAAGAACAAAAUUCCAAUCUCAGAAGAAAAAAAAAAGGAAUAACACAUUAUGAUCGAGUAAGGUUUAUCCCAAGAAUUUGAAGAUGACUCAACAUCAGCAAGUCUAUUAAUGUAUUUCCCUUUAUUAACAUAUUAAAGAAGAGAAAACAAUAUCAUCUCAAUUAAUGAAAAAAAAAUCCAUCUCAAAAUUGAGUACUCAUCCUGAUGAGAAGAAAAACUUUUAACAAGAAAAAAAGAUACUUCCUGAAGUUGAUAAAGCUUGUCUACCAGAAACCUACAGAGUAAAUCUCACAGUUGAUGAUUAAAAAAAAAAAAACUCAUUUGUGGCAGUUACCAAUUUACUGCCUGUCAGCUCCAAAUCCACCUCUUUGCUUUGUGAAAGUGGAUGCUUGCUGUGAACGUUUUUCUUGCCAGCUGACAAAAUGCUAAGCUGUGUCAGUAGAGGGCGCUGGAGGCACACGACAGGAGGGCGUCUCACUGUCCGGUCACCAGAGUGCGGCUGCCAGCGGUAUGUGGGUGGGACACCCGGCCGCACUUGUCCACCCACACGUUUUACUGAGACCGCGCAGGAGGAUUCCUGCUGGCCAAACACGUUAUGACCUAGUAGGGUUUAUCCCAGGAAUUUAAAGAUGACUCAAAUCAGCAACUCUCUCAAUGUAUUCUACUUUAUUAACAUAUUAAAGGAGAAAAAAUAACUCAAUGGAC
rnacentral:lncRNA from 10 species